GUCAGGAGGAAUCAAAGCAUCCAUCACAACUGUAGCUGACGAAGGAAAGGAGCCAAGAGGCGGUGACUCCAGCUAUGCUGAGCUGCCCUGAAUUAGGAAUUGUCUGUAAUUUGAAUGCCAAAGGAUGAAGAGGGUGUUAUUAGGAAACACGACAAGGGCAUUCUCACCAUAAAUACAAAAACCCAAGUCAAAAGGUAUCAUGAUCUGGCAUAAUGCAAGGAUACAAGGCAAACUACUUGCAAAGAAUGAUGGAUUUCAUAUCACAGGCCUCAAAGUGGCUAGCUGCUACGGCAAGACUAAUUACUUUUAAUGGCUUGGAAAACCUGUUACUGACCUUUGUUGAAGUGUGACAGAGAAAACAGCAGCAUAAAUUCACUCUCAGCUUUUUUUUUUUUUCACUCUGGUAUUGUCGUUUCUCAUAUACAGCUUGAGUUUUGAGCCAGAGACAGGUUGAAAGAUAUGCAAUCAUCAGUUCAGGGGCUCUGAAGCAAUGGAGACUUAUCAACCAGUUCAAGAAAAGGAAAGGAAAGGAGGCCUUCUUCUCUGAACAGAACAUAAUUCAUCAUCACACACUAUCACAAGCAAUUUGUUCAUAGGAAAUCAAUUCAGUCCUCUGACCAAUACCUCCUAAACCUUAUCUCUACUUUAUCUCUCCCAGGAAAUAAAUUACCUGGUACUAUGAUAACUCAAUGAUAAACUCAAAUGAUGAAAAUAAAGGACAUUUCACAUGGGAGAAGACACUAGUUAAUUUAAUUCAGUGUUCUGUUUUUAUAAUACUGUAAAAGAGGCCAGUUUUGAGGUGUGUGAUAAUUUUUCUUUGAUACCUAUAUAG